UUUAUCUUGUAUUUGGUCAAACGCUAGAGUCUCCUCAACAGCAUAAAUCGAUUUGCUCUCAUUGUAACGAUUAUGCUACAAAAUAUUUUCGAAAGAUUCAUGUCUCUCGGAUAAAUUCCAAAUUUACAUUACGAAGUAAAUUAUGUCCGACUCAAUCUUAUCUGGACGAUAAAAGUGUCCGAGGCGGAUUUAAUUAAAGGUUGCGAUGUUGCACCACUGUCAAGCGUUCACGGCUGCUUCUCAUCGCGCUGCUUGCACCGCGGCGGAAAACUCGACGAGUGCAGUCGCGAUUGUGAUGACAAUUCGCGAACUGGACUAUUCGUGGCACUCGCGCGAUAACUAUUCUCGCGCUGGGCCGGAUAGAAAGCAACGAUGGCGAACGUCAAACGACCACAACAUGGACAAGCCGUAUCUGCGGGAUGCCGUGUCAGAGUGCACGUCUCCUCACGAAGCAUCUCUUUUCCGUGUACUAACCGACGUUCGCAUGCCUUUAGAUACGUUAUCGCCGCGAGUCAAUUUUGCUUUUCGUAACGGAAGCUACGUUUUUAACGCGCCGAUAAGUGACGUAAAGUGACUGGGAUUCAAAAACAC